rnacentral:lncRNA from 1 species
CCAAGGAGUUGAGAUCUCCUGAAACCAACCUGCCCGAAGUUGUUUUACUGCCUCCUCCCUGUCCCUGUGGUAAAGGCCCACCUGAAAGAAAAGCCGGAAAGUCCAAUUCUGCUGAAACUUCUCUACUCAAGAGUUCCUUAUCUGAAAAGGUUUGCCGCGUCUUCAUGCAAGAAGUUGUCAUGCUUUAGAAAAAUCACAAGCUGCAAAAAGUCAGGAUUGUCAGUUCAGAAGGCGCUGCUUGUUCCACUGGGUAAAACGGAGAAAGCAUUGCUGGCAAAUGAUCUUUAGGAAGAAAAAAAAAACAACAAACCCAGGAUGGAAACAGCAGCAGAAUGAAGAUAAAAAGGCUUGCAGGCUUUAUUCUCACUGAAGGUUGGCAACGGGAAAUCUGUUGGAGUAGAAGAAGAAUAUCUGAUAGGUCAUCUGUUGUGUAAUGAAGAAUAGAAGACAGGAGACAAGCUAGGAGAAGCAAGGUGAUUCCAAACCUCCGAGGAAUGUGAGAUCUUAUGAGAGAAACAUGAAAGCAAUACCUUUAUAAACUGACCAAAUUUAAUUUACUAUCAGUGAGCUUUGUAAGACUGUAGGCUGACAAAAUCCAUUUAUAAUGUUUUGGGUAAGACUGAAGUCAUACAUUUUUCUCUUGUGGAAUCAUUUUAUUAUGCAUUCAUUUCUUUUUUGAGCAGGCCUUCUGAUUAAAAAUUACCACUAAGAUGUCAAAUAUUUCCUUGUCCUCCGCUAUCUGGGCUCGGUUACCCAAUAACUUAUUCUGACUAUCCAUCUUCUUUAAUCACAAUAAAACGUGUUUUCAAAGG